rnacentral:lncRNA from 1 species
CUCGAGUUCAGUCCAGUCCUAACACUUCAUAUGGUGGCUGUACAUUUUAGUCGAUUUCUCAAGCAGUGGAAGGAUGGCACCUCAUGUUGGUGAUUCCAUUAGAAAAGGAAUAUGCUGAUGUCAAUCUUGUUCCAACAGCACACCUUCCCCUGCCCCCAGCGCCUUUUUUAGCAUCAUGUGUCUACUUCUCAUAGAAUUAAAUGGACUUGGGUUAUAUAGUCUCUAAAUAUGUGAAUUGAUUUGUAGUGAUUUUUUGACCCCAAGUCUUUAUUGGCUUAGUUAUAGAAGCUUGUUUGGAAAACAGUAGCCUGCAUCCUGAGGCACAGUGUCCUACACUCAGUUUGGGAAAUCUCGGGUCUACUAUGUUAACAUCCUUGUGAAGUAGGACUCACCAGAGCACUCCUGCCAGUCCCAAGCUUUGUGAAUUCUGCAGAUAAAGCUGCCUGGAGACUGCAUCUCCCAGCAUGCCUGAGGAUGUGUGAGCUUUAAAACUUAUCUUUAACAGUUGUCAUUAAACAGCAGGAGUCCAAAGACCCAUGGUGAUGAUGGCACUGUAGCACAGUAACACACUUGUUGGUACUCUGCUCAUAUUGCAUUUGCCUACCCUGAGAGGCACUGCUUAUCUACUUAUCCUGUAAUUCACAGCCAUUUUUUCUUUUGUUCACCAACUGUUCUUUCAAGACUAGUUUCUACCUAAAAGAACCAUUAGUAAAUAAUUGAUUAUUAAAUGUAAGUAUAUCCAUCUAAGGGAAUAAAAGCUGUUUAAUAAUAAUAU